rnacentral:rRNA from 1 species
GACGAACGCUGGCGGCGUGCCUAAUACAUGCAAGUCGAGCGGACGGAUGGGAGCUUGCUCCCAGACCGUCAGCGGCGGACGGGUGAGUAACACGUGGGCAACCUGCCUGUAAGACUGGGAUAACUCCGGGAAACCGGGGCUAAUACCGGAUAACUCUUUCCCUCACAUGAGGGAAAGCUGAAAGAUGGCAUCUCGCUGUCACUUACAGAUGGGCCCGCGGCGCAUUAGCUAGUUGGUGAGGUAACGGCUCACCAAGGCGACGAUGCGUAGCCGACCUGAGAGGGUGAUCGGCCACACUGGGACUGAGACACGGCCCAGACUCCUACGGGAGGCAGCAGUAGGGAAUCUUCCGCAAAGGACGGAAGUCUGACGGAGCAACGCCGCGUGAGUGAUGAAGGUGUUCGGAUCGUAAAACUCUGUUGUCAGGGAAGAACAAGUACCGGAGUAACUGCCGGUACCUUGACGGUACCUGACCAGAAAGCCACGGCUAACUACGUG